CAAGGCAUCCAAAUCACCCAAGUCUUAGGUUGAUCAGUGAUGAAACAUCGUAAAUACGUUUCAAGACACCUAUUGGUUACUUCCGUUUGUCCAUCCGUUUGAGGAUGGUAGGCUGUGCUCAUUUUCAGCUUGGUUCCCUGCAUUUUAAAAAACUCUUU